UGUGGAGCCAAGAUAAAAUACAGACAAGAAUCUGGUCCAGGCUCAUCCAGGCUCACACAAAUAAAAUGGGGAGAUUUUGGGCAUGAGUCAUGGCAGCCGAUUAGGAGGCCUGGUUACAGUGUUGUGCUUCUUUUUCAAUCAUGGAGAGUGUACCUGUGUAAUGUGGACACCACCUCUCCGCAAAAGCUUCUCAUAUCCAUUUCUUGUUCUUCAAAUGUUGCUUGUGACUCAUAUUCUCAGGGCUACAAAACUUUAUAGAGGAGGUUUGAUUGCACUCUGCAUUUCCAAUGUAUUUUUCAUGCUUCCUUGGCAGUUUGCUCAGUUUGUACUUCUUACUCAGAUUGCAUCAUUAUUUGCAGUGUACAUUGUUGGAUACAUUUAUCUAUGUAAAUUAUGGAAGAUCAUUUAUAUACACAUGGGUAUUCUGGCAAUGAAACCACAUUUCCUGAAAAUAAAUGUAUCUGAACUUAGUUUAUGGGUUAUUCAAGGAUGUUUUUGGUUAUUUGGAACUGUCAUACUUAAAUACUUGACAUCUAAAAUUUUUGGUAUUGCAGAUGACAUGGAGUUUCACUCUUGUUGCCCAGGCUGGAGUGCAAUGGCGUGAUCUUGGCUCACCGCAACCUUCCUCUCCCAGGUUCAAGCGAUUCUCCUGCCUCAGCCUCCCGAGUAGCUAGGAUUACAGUGACCGCCCACCCGCACCUGCUGAACAGCAAGGUCCACGGAGUAGGAACUGCACGUGUCAGGGACUAUGUGUGGCACUGUAUGGCAAGUCUCCAAGACUGGGAAGCACCGCUUUACGUAGUCCUCAUGGAUUCCAGAGCAUGAGUUGGGCUGCUUUUGAAUAGUGGGAGACGGGAGUUUACCCCGAUCACAGAAACCAUACCAACUGAAAGACAAAUCAGCAUCUUGCUGGACGACCCCUCACAGAGCUCCUAGAUCCUUGAAGUGUGAACUUCAGCAGCUGAGAGAGAUGGGGUCUCACUAUGUUGCCCAGGCUAGUCUUGAACUCCUGGACUCAAGCAGUCCUCUCACCUCAGCCUCCCAAAGUGCUGGGAUUACAGGUAUGAGCCACUGCAUUCGGCCCAAUUUCUUUAAUAGAUAAUAGGGCUAUUCUUAUUUUCUUUUUGCAACUGUGUUGGUAAUGCGAAUCUUUAAAAGAAUUUGUAUAUUUCAUUUAUGUUGUUAAAUUGGUUAGCAUAAAGUUCUUCACAAUAUUCCCCUAUUUUCUGUUCUUUUAAUUUCUGUAAGAGCUACAGUAAUAUCCCUCUUUCAUCCUAAUGUUGGUAAUUUGUAUCUUCUUUCUUUUUAUCUUUACCAGAUUUUAUAAAUAUUGUUGAUCUUUUUGAAAAACCAACUGUUGGCUUCAUUUUCUUUACUGUGUAAUACUACCUUAGAGGACAGCAGUUCCUAAUACCUACUUUUAUUAUGAAUCUCUGCCAUUUAUAAAGAACUGUGGACAGCGCAGGGAAUGGGGGAAGAAAACUCUGGUGCAGCUUGAAUCUUGGUAGCAAAACAGUGACUUCAUCAGAAAAUUUUGUCACUCUCUAUUAGAUAUAAUGGAGUUUGACCAUUUGGAAUUUGGAAUUUUUCAAAUGAAUAUGACAAAAAUUUAAAAAACUCUUGUAUUACUAUGUGAUAACACAGAUCUUUACAACUUUAUGUUUGUUUUAUCAAUUACAUAUUAAAGAUAGAAAAUGGA